UAUCUUUGUUUUCGUAUUGGUGUUACAAGUCCGCAUUUGCCGGAUAGUAAUGAAAAGGGAAUCAGGUGUAAAUCCUGAACAGUCGCGCUGCUGUAAGCUCUUAUCAGUGAACAGUUAACAAUAAUCGGUUAACAGUAUUGCUGAAAAAGUCUUUAAACAAUACCCAAUACCACUAUUCAUUAUUGAAUGGGAAGGAUGUUUAAAGAUAGAGUAAGUCAGAAGACCUGCCAAAGCAUAUAUUUUCAUC
rnacentral:ncRNA from 1 species